rnacentral:rRNA from 1 species
ACGCUCGACACCUACGGGAGGCAGCAGUGAGGAAUAUUGGUCAAUGGGCGCAGGCCUGAACCAGCCAAGUAGCGUGAAGGAUGACUGCCCUAUGGGUUGUAAACUUCUUUUAUAUGGGAAUAAAGUUUUCCACGUGUGGAAUUUUGUAUGUACCAUAUGAAUAAGGAUCGGCUAACUCCGUGCCAGCAGCCCCGGUAAUCUGAGCGGGCUGGCAAGGC